rnacentral:rRNA from 1 species
GGGAUAGAAUUCCAGGAGUAGCGGUGAAAUGCGUAGAUAUCUGGAGGAAUACCAAAGGCGAAGGCAGUCCCCUGGUCCGAUACUGACACUGAGGUACGAAAGCGUGGGGAGCAAACAGGAUUAGAUACCCUGGUAGUCCACGCCCUAAACGAUGUCGAUUAGCCAUUGGAAGGACCCCUUUUCCUUUCAGUGACGUAGCUAACGCGCUAAAUCGACCGCCUGGGAAGUACGACCGCAAGGUUAAAACUCAAAGGAAUUGACGGGGACCUGAACAAGCGGUGAAUGAUGUGGAUUAAUUCGAUGCUACGCGAAGAACCUUACCUACCUUUGACAUGGCCAAAGUUCUACCGAGAGGCGGAAGUACUCGUAAGAGGAUUGGCGCACAGGUGCUGCAUGGUUGUCGUCAGAUCGUGUCGUGAGAUGUUGGGUUCAGUCCCGCAACGAACGCAACCCUUAUCUUUAAUUGCUCCUAUUUUAACAGGCACUUUAAAGAAACUGCCAAUGAUAAGUUGGAGGAAGGUGGGGAUCACGUCAAGUCCGCAUGGCCUUUAUAGGUAGGGCUUCACACGUCAUACAAUGGUUAGAACAAAGAGCUGCAAAUUCGUAAGAAGGAGCCAAUCUCACAAACCUAACCUCAGUUCGAAUUGCGGUCUGCAACUCGAGCGCAUGAAGCCGGAAUCGCUAGUAAUCGUGGAUCAGAAUGCCACGGUGAAUACGUUCUUAGGUCUU